AGUGAACGCUGGCGGUAGGCCUAACACAUGCAAGUCGAACGGCAGCACAGUAAGAGCUUGCUCUUACGGGUGGCGAGUGGCGGACGGGUGAGGAAUACAUCGGAAUCUACUUUUUCGUGGGGGAUAACGUAGGGAAACUUACGCUAAUACCGCAUACGACCUACGGGUGAAAGCAGGGGAUCUUCGGACCUUGCGCGAUUGAAUGAGCCGAUGUCGGAUUAGCUAGUUGGCGGGGUAAAGGCCCACCAAGGCGACGGUCCGUAGCUGGUCUGAGAGGAUGAUCAGCCACACUGGAACUGAGACACGGUCCAGACUCCUACGGGAGGCAGCAGUGGGGAAUAUUGGACAAUGGGCGCAAGCCUGAUCCAGCCAUACCGCGUGGGUGAAGAAGGCCGUCGGGUUGUAAAGCCCUUUUGUUGGGAAAGAAAAGCAGCAGGUUAAUACCCCGCUGUUCUGACGGUACCCAAAGAAUAAGCACCGGCUAACUUCG
rnacentral:rRNA from 1 species